rnacentral:rRNA from 1 species
CACGUAGGGACCAAGCGUUGUCCGGAUUCAUUGGGCGUAAAGAGCUCGUAGGCGGCUCAGUAAGUCGGGUGUGAAACCUCCAGGCUCAACCUGGAGACGCCACCCGAUACUGCUGUGGCUAGAGUCCAGUAGGGGAGCGUGGAAUUCCUGGUGUAGCGGUGAAAUGCGCAGAUAUCAGGAGGAACACCAGCGGCGAAGGCGGCGCUCUGGGCUGGAACUGACGCUGAGGAGCGAAAGCGUGGGGAGCGAACAGG